GAAAUAUUAACUGUUUCAUUUAAAAUUUUUGUAGAAUUUUAUUUUUUAGUCAAAAAGCUAAAAUAAAUUUAAAAGACGAGAAGACCCUAUAAAUCUUUAUAUUUUAUUUAUUUUAAUUAUAAAGAUUAUUUUUAUUAUAAUAAAUUAAAAUAUUUUAUUGGGGUGAUAUUAAAAUUUAAAAAACUUUUAAUUUUUAAAACCAUUAAUUUAUGAAUAAUUGAUCCAUUAAUAAUGAUUAAAAAUUUAAGUUACUUUAGGGAUAACAGCGUAAUUUUUUUGGAGAGUUCAUAUCGAUAAAAAAGAUUGCGACCUCGAUGUUGGAUUAAGAUAUAAUUUUGGGUGUAGCCGUUCAAAUUUUAAGUCUGUUCGACUUUUAAAUUCUU
rnacentral:rRNA from 1 species